rnacentral:rRNA from 1 species
GACAGAGCCUCGAGCGUUAGGCGGAAUCACUGGGCUUAAAGCGUGUGUAGGCGGAUCGUUAAGUGCCUUGUGAAAUCCCAACGGCUUUAACUGUGGAACGGCUGGGCAUACUGGGCGGUCUUGAGCCAUCUAGGGGCGACUGGAACAAACGGUGGAGCGGUGAAAUGCGUAGAUAUCGUUUGGAACGCCAAAGGGUGAAAACAGGUCGCU